ensembl:lncRNA
UAAAACAAGAAAAGAGGAAUCUCUGCAUCUCUUUGCAAACGUGGAAAUAACUGUAUUGGCAGUUUAGACGCCAAGCAAAGAAACCCCUUUGUAUGUAUUAUGAGCCAAACUCCAACCUCUUCUCCAGCGCUAUUUGCAUCUGUAGGUAACUCCUCCAGAAUGGGGGUCAGGUGCAGAACUGCACUACCAAAAGAGCAGAGUUUGUCAAACAGAUGGCUGUGCAGGCCUGUCCGAGCCCUGUAAAUCCCUUAAGGCCGCCAGUGCUCACUGGAGCCGCGGUAAAGCAGCCCACACGCUGACAGCUUGGCUGGGGGUGAGCGCUCAGAGCUCUGCUAUGUGUCCCCCUGCAAAGGGCUUCGGCAGCGCGGUCAGCAGAGACCGCUGGGAGGAGCCGGGAGAACGGAGAAGCAGGAGGGAGGGAGGGAGGCACUGGGGUGCCCAGAAUAUUCACCGUCGAGUCUAAAACGUGAAGAACCAGCAAGGCACAGAACAAAGGGGAACCCUUACAGGUCCGCCCCCGGCCCCACGUCUGCACGUGCAGCAUCAACCCGUACGUGACGGACAAAAAGAAAAACGUCAGGUGAAGUAUAGAAAAUGGCUCGGUGUCCUUUCUGCACUUCGGUAACGUCUCGAUGGCAGCAUUUCCGAGCUCCCCGUCGCUCCGCUGAUCCUUGCCGUCGUCACUUCACAGCUAAGCGAUGAAAAAGGACCGUCCCUUCCAGCUCUGGCGAAACGCGUCCCCAGAGCCCUCGCACAGAGCCGGGCCGGGCUGUGGGGCGCGGCGUUGGGGCUGCCGCCGCGGGUGCCCCCGGGUGAGGCGGCGAGCCGCGCCGGUGCCCGGCACAGGCAGCAAGGAGAGGCGCGGAGCUCGGCCGCACCACCUACCGGCCGCCGCCGGACUCGAUGAGCUGCAGAGCUCCCUUCCAACCCCUGCGGUUCUGGGAAAAGCAGCGGGACUUGCUGAAUCACGAGGUCCAGAGCUCAGUUGAAGGACAGACCUCCUGCCAUCAGCCCAAGAGCGUUCUCUUUGUUACAGCGGCCCUCACGAGCACCAAGACUGAGCCUCUGCUCAGGUAUCUACAAUGCCCUCGGUGCUCUGCAGGCUCCAAGCACGAUCCAAGGAGCUCACAGGGAAGAAACACAGCACGAAAUGUUGCAAGGGCGCAAGAGAAACGGCCGUCAAUCUUUUUCUGGACUGCACAGCUGAUGCACAGCCACGCAAAGAACUCCAAGGGCAAGUCUGGCCACGUAUCAACCACCUGUCCUUGCUACAAAAAGCCUACCUGUCUCUACCUGGCCCUGCCCCAAGGAAGCACCUAUGGGAAUUUGGAAAAGUUUGGGGAUGCAGUGGAGAAAUACAGGCUCUUCACAGCACGUCCCCGGCACCCUAUUGUAUUUUUUAUCAUAAGCACCAUAAGGACGGUUGGACACUGGACUAAGCUGCCCAGCCAGGCCGUGGAAACUCCAUUGCUAGAGAUACUCUAAAUCCAACCCAGCUCCCUGUGCAACCCGCUCCUGCUCCGCCCGCCUCGGGCAGAGGGCUGGGGAUCGACGUGCGGGCUCGCAGCGCUGUGAUUCAGUAGCACUCACACACGGCGAGUUACCUCCGCCUUCCUCCGUCAGCGCUCAGCUUCCUCGGCGGCAGCAGGGAGCAGCGAAAGGCGAGCACCGAAGUUACGCACCGGACCGGCUGCAUUCCUGCGGGGCCGACGGGACGCGAGGCACAGUGCGCAGCCCCGAGCAGCGGCCGGGACCCGGGCGGCCAACAGAGGGCACUGCGCGAUGCCGCCGGCGGGCGGAGCGCGGCUCACGGCGGGGCUGCGGCGCGGAGAGAAAGGGCCUUCCGUACCCGCAGCUGUGAGCGCUGGUGCCCGCCCGCCUGCUCGCCAGCCGGAGCCACGGCGACUCCGAUGCUGCCCCUCUGCUGCAAAGGCUGAACGCUGCUCCUUACUUCCAGUACCUGUGGCUGCCGGGUUCACGUUGCUCAAUUUCCCUGCUCAAUCUCGAGAUCUGAUCAUACGCUUAACAAAAAAAUGACAUUUGAAUUCUUACAUAACCGCAUGACUGCCGGCACUCCGGCUUUCAGGAAGGCACGAAACGUUACAGGUCUAAUGAUGAAAUCCCAAGCACCUCCGAGAACCCUGCAGAUACAGCACCUGGAAGGGGCCGAUGAAACCCAGGAGACAUAAACGGCCUUUUGGUAUUUCACUGGCUGGCCGUGCCAUAGCUUAGGAUCACGAUGCACAUCCACCAUGAGACAGAACACGAAGGCCACUAGGACACUUUCACACUGCAGUCAGCUCCAGUAGAAACUACAGCACGUUUGUUUGAGAUACGGUUUCUUACAGGCAGACAACAAGCGUGGAAAUUCAGAUUUAGGACUAAGAAGCUCUGGUGAACAGAUGAUGUUUCUCAGGACCCCAAAGACCCAGAUUUAGAGGCAGCUGAGCCUAAAAGCACUGCCACAGGUGUCUGACCUGUGUGCUGAUGGGCUGGUUCCAGGCACUGCCAUGCCAGACUCUCCAGCCUGUUCUCCCAGCCAGGGUAAACACAUGUUCCUGGGGUAGUAAAAGGGAAUGGGAACCCCAGCUUUUGUCACUCGGCAUUUGGGAUCUGUGCCCCUCCCCAUAGUCACUUGGUUAGCCAACAGGAUUGUGGAUGGCACAGCACAGAGUUCUGUCACCUAAGGAAGUCAUCAACUCACUUCAGAGAGCAGAGAUCAUAUUUUAAACUGCUACGGGUAGCUCUAUCAGAGUACAUAAUCCUGAUUUUAGAGGUACUCACACACAGCUAAGUUUAACAUCUCCAGGUUAGUUCCUUGUUACCACUGGGCUGUUUUCACACCACCACCACACCACUCCUGUGCUCCUCCUGACCCAGCUGAUCCUACUGAUCCCAGACACAAUGCAUCACAUCAGUUGAUUGGGGUUUCUGGAGGCUGUGUAGCCCAAUCCAGCCCAAAGCUGCAGGAUUUGCCUCUUGCAUUGCUCUGGAGUUAGCACUGGACUGAUUCUGCAGUAACUUUGGUUAGGGACCAAAUUCAGCUGGAAUUUAACCCUCCCAUAUGAAAACAUUGCUGGGGCCAGUGUGAAUUCCUGAACUACUUCACCGAGGGUCAGGCAAGCAACUAUGAAGAAGCCAGGAAGGGAAGAGAAUCACACAGAGCAGAGGUGACAGCAGGAACAUCCAUGCAGACUGAUUUUAACUUUCCCAAAACUGCUGUUCGGUGCUUCAACUUACCUGGCUGUUAACGUGGGAUCACACUCUUCACCUCCUUCAUACGGUCCUGAGAACAGCAGAAUUAAACUUGGUUCUUACCCUUAAGGCCUGGCACCAGCACAUCAAAAAGAAGGGAGUCGUCUGAAACGCCAAGACAGACCGUACUCAGCAAAUGCGACCCCGUGGCACAAAUGGACUUGGCAAAAAGGUAAUGCCUGCCUGUGCGAGAGACCCCAUUUUCCAGGGACCUGUCUGAAUUUGGAGAAUGAGCUCCUUGGAGACCAAAGGACCCUUCGGUACCUGCUCUCCCAUGCUGCAAGGCACGAUUCUUCCCACCUGUACUGCAAGCACACUGCAGCCCAAUGUGGGGAGAUGGGAACAAACCACGCAUUUGCGUAUUAGUCUCAUUUGAGGUUAAUGGGAAAGUGCUCGAAUGCUGCACUGAAAAUCUCAGGGUAAGACAGAACAGAACACUUCCAUCAUUAGGAGCCAUAAGGAGGCUAAGUGAUGCCCAGGAGGAAAUCGUUAUAUAAUACUUUGUCCUGAUAAAUACAGGUGAUUACUUCGGUGCAUGAUGCAUCUUAAAAGGAAAUACAAACCUUUGGUUAAGAGUCAGGCUGGUCUUCAGCACAGUCCGUGUCUGAUCGUCUGCAGGACACCGUCUGUCAUUCUACAGCCAAUAAUUAAGCUGUUCAUGUGACGAGACUGAAGCUGUGAGGUCAUUACCUCAUGCAAUUACACGUGCCUUAAAUUAAUUAUAGUCAUCAUUCUCACACAUGUGCAACAGUUCAGUCCUUUAGCUGUGUCUGAUACGACAGCAAGUGAAAACACGGCAUACGGAGGAAAAAUAAUGCAGACUUUGGUCCUCCAGUUAAAGUGGUUUGGUAGGAGAUGUUGUUGGGUUUUGAUCACACGGCCUUAUACUCAAUUCCACAUAUCUAACAAGCGGAAUUGGUUUGCACUUUGAUCACAAACACAGGGGCGCUGAGUUUCAGAACUGCUUUAUUCAUAGCUGUUCUCUAGAACUAAUCAGCAAAUAAGCCGUAUUUACUUUUGCCAUGAAAGUAUUUAUGAAGCGUUUCUCAUAUUAGAGAUGAUGAAAAUUAAGAGGAAAAAUAAAAUGCUUCUACUCUGAAGCGCUGAAGCCCUCUUGGCAAAGACUGUUUAUCCAUUACAGUGACAGGCUUAUCAAGAAGCCACAUUAAUCCUGUCCACAUAUAAGGAGCAAGAACACUGCGCUCCUGUCAUGCCUUUGCACAACGAGGAGUAGAGCUAAGACAAAUCGUGUUUCAUUAGCAAGGCCAUUACAAAUUCAGGUCUUGACCAAACAUACUGGGAUUAGGAGCCAGAACUCAGUGAGGCAUUUGCCCUCAAGAAGGCCCAAGGCAUGUAGAGAUGUAUAAAACAUACAUAAAACUCCUCUCAAAUAACUGUUCCUAAAGGAACAUACCUUCUGGGGAAGGGAGCCUGUUUGAGUGCCACUGUGCAGUUCUAAUAGCUGUAGAACCCACCCCAGCAGCUUGCCAUGCCCCUCAGCUCAGCCUUCAGACUGAAACAAAGAUCUUGAAGAUAUUCAGAUACAGUAGCAUAUUUUCUUGUUUGCUUAGUUCAUCAUAUUUGUCUCCAAAUACAGCUACCUACCUGCCUUUUGGUGAAAUAAAUCAGUUUGUUUCCCUUAAAUUCCCACCAGCGUGGAGUAGUUUAGCAAACCCCAGACACCGGGAUUCAUUUUGGAGCACUGAGCACUUUACACAGCCAUUGCAAUAAGGUAAGUAAAGGACUUGUCACGGAGUAGGAAAUGCAGUAUGAAACUGGCUCAGUAUGACCAUGGAGUGUGGGGGUAGCCCAGCCUCACCCAGCCUUGCCCAUGCUCCUCUAUGGAGGCACGCUACGCCCUGAACCAUGCCCACACACCACCUUGGAGAUUGCUAGUUGACACAGGCCAAAACCGUUUCAGGUACCAGGAUUAUUAGGAUGGAUACCAGGAUUAUUACGCUGACUGCAUAACAGUCAGCAAGCAAUCCCAUGCUCAUGCUUUCUACCUACCCCCAGGCACAGCUAAGGAACCCAGGCUUUGGCACCUGAUUACCGGGAACUUGCUGGCAAAUUGCAGCGGGGAGGACCUGCAACUCCUACGAAUAAAGCUGUGAAGGUCUGAAUUCUUUGAAAGUUUGAGUGAAAUCCUUAUCUGUGCUGAAACCUCACUCUUGGCUUUUGUGCUCAGCUCUUAUGUAAGGGCAGCAAAUUAGUUUAUCUUCCUUCGUGUCCUCCAGGUCAGUGACACACCGCCAUCGGGUCACGUUACUGUUUAGCUGAACGGCCAUACCACACACUUACAUGCUGUAACAGCGCGUGUCCUUCUCUCAACUGUGAGUUACCAGCAACUGCCAUUCCUCCUAGAACUACAGUUCAAACACCCCACAGCAGGAUCAACAUCAUUCUUAGGCGGAAACACCCACUACACUUCAGAGCUGUGCCAAAGUGCUGUGUUACUCAAAGCCCUAACCACCUGCAACUAUCUGAGUCCCGCAGAAUUUAGAGGAUAUGCCUCAGGUCUGACACUGCUACUCUGUGGCCCUUGCAAUGCCGCUACUCAUUCAAAACAAACACUCAGUUUUGCAAACAGAAACAGAUAAAUACUGCAUCAUGAGGUUGUUUCACUUCCC